GAGNGCAACCNUUGUGAUUAGUUNNUANGCAAGAGCACUUUAAUCAGACUGCCGNNGACAAAACGGAGGAAGGUGGGGACGACGUCAAAUCAUCAUGCCCCUUAUGACCUGGGCUACACACGUACUACAAUGGUCGCCACCAGAGGGAAGCCAAACCGNGAGGUGGAGCAAUCCCCCAAAAGCGAUCUCAGUUCGGAUUGUAGGCUGCAACCCGCCUACAUGAAGNNGGAAUUGCUAGUAAUCGCGGAUCAGCAUGCCGCGGUGAAUACGUUCCCGGGCCUUGCACACACCGCCCGUCACACCAUGGGAGCCGGNNNUACCCGAAGCCAAUAGUCUAACCGCAAGGAGNNNNNUGUCGAAGGUAGGAUCGGNGACUGGGGUGAAGUCGUGACAAGGUAGCCGUAUCGGAAGGUGCGGCUGGAUCACCUCCUU
rnacentral:rRNA from 1 species